UACGUAGGGUGCGAGCGUUGUCCGGAAUCACUGGGCGUAAAGCGCACGUAGGCGGCUUUUUAAGUCAGGGGUGAAAUCCUGGAGCUCAACUCCAGAACUGCCCUUGAUACUGAGAAGCUUGAGUCCGGGAGAGGUGAGUGGAACUGCGAGUGUAGAGGUGAAAUUCGUAGAUAUUCGCAAGAACACCAGUGGCGAAGGCGGCUCACUGGCCCGGUACUGACGCUGAGGUGCGAAAGCGUGGGGAGCAAACAGG
rnacentral:rRNA from 1 species